GAAAGCGUGGGUAGCGANCAGGAUUAGAUACCCUGGUAGUNCACGCCGUAAACGAUGAGUGCUAGGUGUUAGGCCCUUUCCGGGGCUUAGUGCCGGAGCUAACGCAAUAAGCACUCCGCCUGGGGAGUACGACCGCAAGGUUGAAACUCAAAGGAAUUGACGGGGGCCCGCACAAGCGGUGGAGCAUGUGGUUUAAUUCGAAGCAACGCGAAGAACCUUACCAGGUCUUGACAUCCCGAUGCUAUUCUUAGAGAUAGGAAGUUACUUCGGUACAUCGGAGACAGGUGGUGCAUGGUUGUCGUCAGCUCGUGUCGUGAGAUGUUGGGUUAAGUCCCGCAACGAGCGCAACCCUUAUUGUUAGUUGCCAUCAUUAAGUUGGGCACUCUAGCGAGACUGCCGGUAAUAAACCGGAGGAAGGUGGGGAUGACGUCAAAUCAUCAUGCCCCUUAUGACCUGGGCUACACACGUGCUACAAUGGUCGGUACAAUGAGUUGCGAGCCGGUGACGGCAAGCUAAUCUCUGAAAGCCGAUCUCAGUUCGGAUUGGAGGCUGCAACUCGCCUCCAUGAAGUCGGAAUCGCUAGUAAUCGCGGAUCAGCACGCCGCGGUGAAUACGUUCCCGGGCCUUGUACACACCGCCCGUCACACCACGAGAGUUUGUAACACCCGAAGUCGGUGAGGUAACCUUUUGGGGGCCAGCCGCCUAAGGUGGGANGGAU
rnacentral:rRNA from 1 species